rnacentral:misc_RNA from 1 species
AACAAGGCGUACCUGCGGACCUGCGGAAGGAUCAUUACAGAGUUGCAAAACUCCCUAAACCAUUGUGAACCUACCUUCUACCGUUGCUUCGGCGGGCGGGCCUAGCGCCCCCCCGGCCCCCCGCGGGCGCCCGCCGGAGGAUAACCAAACUCUUGACAUCAGUGGCCUCUCUGAGUAUUCUUUACUGAAUAAGUCAAAACUUUCAACAACGGAUCU